AGAGUUUGAUCAUGGCUCAGGAUGAACGCUGGCGGCGUGCUUAAUACAUGCAAGUCGAACGCUUGGUCUUUAAUUGAUAUGAAGAGCUUGCUCUGAUUUGAUUUUAUCUGACAAAGAGUGGCGAACGGGUGAGUAACACGUGGGUAACUUACCUCUUAGCAGGGGAUAACAUUUGGAAACAAGUGCUAAUACCGUAUAACACUAACAACCGCAUGGUUGUUAGUUGAAAGAUGGUUCUGCUAUCACUAAGAGAUGGACCCGCGGUGCAUUAGCUAGUUGGUAAGGUAAUGGCUUACCAAGGCGAUGAUGCGUAGCCGAGUUGAGAGACUGAUCGGCCACAAUGGGACUGAGACACGGCCCAUACUCUUACGGGAGGCAGCAGUAGGGAAUCUUCCACAAUGGGCGCAAGCCUGAUGGAGCAACGCCGCGUGUGCGAUGAAGGGUUUCGGCUCGUAAAACACUGUUAUAAGAGAAGAACGACAUUGAGAGUAACUGUUCAGUGUGUGACGGUAUCUUAUCAGAAAGGAACGGCUAAAUACGUGCCAGCAGCCGCGGUAAUACGUAUGUUCCAAGCGUUAUCCGGAUUUAUUGGGCGUAAAGCGAGCGCAGACGGUUAUUUAAGUCUGAAGUGAAAGCCCUCAGCUCAACUGAGGAAGGGCUUUGGAAACUGGAUAACUUGAGUGCAGUAGAGGAAAGUGGAACUCCAUGUGUAGCGGUGAAAUGCGUAGAUAUAUGGAAGAACACCGGUGGCGAAAGCGGCUUUCUGGACUGUAACUGACGUUGAGGCUCGAAAGUGUGGGUAGCAAACAGGAUUAGAUACCCUGGUAGUCCACACCGUAAACGAUGAGUGCUAGAUGUUCGAGGGUUUCCGCCCUUGAGUGUCGCAGCU
rnacentral:rRNA from 1 species